rnacentral:rRNA from 1 species
UUAGAUUUUAUUUAUUAAUUUUAUUUAUUUUAUUUUAGAAUAUUAAAAAUAAUUAUAUAAGAAAAAGUUUUAGUAUUGUUUAAAGAAAAAAUAAUUUUAAUAAUAGUUUAAUAGUAUUGUAAAAGAAAAUUGAAAUAUUUUGAAAAAUUUUUAUUUUAAAAGAAAAUUUAAUUUAUUGUACCUUGUGUAUCAGCGUUUAUUAAAUAAAAAAUAUUUAAAUAUAUUUUUCUCGAUUUUAAAAGAGUUAAUAUAAUAUUAAAGUUAAUGUAAUAAAAUUAUUUUAAAUAUUAUAUUAGAAAUGAAAUGUUAUUCGUUUUUAAAGGUAUCUAGUUUUUCAAGAAAUAAAUUUAAUUUAGAAAUUAUAAAUUUAUUUAAAAAAUUUUUUAAUUAAAUAAUUUAUAAUUUUAAUAUUUUAUGGGAUAAGCUAUAAAAUAAAUUUUUAAAAAUAAUAAAUAAAUUUAAAAUAUAUAUGCUUAGAAUUAGCAAUUAUUAAAAAUUGUGUUAUAAUUUAUUUUAUAAAUUAAAUUAUUUAUUAUAUUUUAAAUUUUUAUUGAAAUAUUAAUUUUAAUUUUUUAAAUUAAGAAAUAAUGAUAGAAUUAGUAUAUUUUAUUGUAAAAUAAAUUUAAAUGAUAAGUUUAAGUAAAGAAUUCGGCAAAAAUAAUAUUCGCCUGUUUAACAAAAACA